rnacentral:rRNA from 1 species
AGAGUUUGAUCCUGGCUCAGAUUGAACGCUGGCGGUAGGCUUAACACAUGCAAGUCGUGCGAGAAAGUAUCUUCGGAUAUGAGUAGAGCGGCGGACGGGUGAGUAACGCGUAGGAAUCUACCUAGUAGAAGGGGAUAGCCCGGGGAAACCCGGAUUAAUACCGUAUACCUCCUUCGGGAGAAAGAAGGCCUCUCUUUGAAGCUUUCGCUAUUAGAUGAGCCUGCGUAAGAUUAGCUUGUUGGUGAGGUAAAGGCUCACCAAGGCGACGAUCUUUAGCUGGUCUGAGAGGACGAUCAGCCACAUUGGGACUGAGACACGGCCCAGACUCCUACGGGAGGCAGCAGUGGGGAAUAUUGGACAAUGGGCGCAAGCCUGAUCCAGCCAUACCGCGUGUGUGAAGAAGGCCUUCGGGUUGUAAAGCACUUUAAGCAGGGAGAAAAAGUUAUAAGUUAAUACCUUAUAACCGUGAUGUUACCUGCAGAAUAAGCACCGGCUAAUUCCGUGCCAGCAGCCGCGGUAAUACGGAAGGUGCAAGCGUUAAUCGGAAUUACUGGGCGUAAAGCGCGCGUAGGUGGUUUGUUAAGUUGGAUGUGAAAGCCCUGGGCUCAACCUAGGAACUGCAUCCAAAACUAACUCACUAGAGUACGAUAGAGGGAGGUAGAAUUCAUAGUGUAGCGGUGGAAUGCGUAGAUAUUAUGAAGAAUACCAGUGGCGAAGGCGGCCUCCUGGAUCUGUACUGACACUGAGGUGCGAAAGCGUGGGUAGCGAACGGGAUUAGAUACCCUGGUAGUCCACGCCGUAAACGAUGACAACUAGCUGUUGGAAGACAAUGUCUUUCAGUGGCGCAGCUAACGUUUUAAGUUGUCCGCCUGGGGAGUACGGCCGCAAGGCUAAAACUCA